GCCGGCGUGGCUCAUCAGGUAGAGCAGUUGCCUUGUAAGCUUCUGGUAGGGGGUUCGAGUCCUCCCGCCGGCUCCA
rnacentral:tRNA from 1 species